CUGUGUGUGGUGAUCAGGCAGUGUAUUGUUAGUUAGCUGUUCUUCACACACCAGCGACUGACUACACUGCCACAUCAGCACAUCACUG
rnacentral:pre_miRNA from 1 species